rnacentral:rRNA from 1 species
GACGAACGCUGGCGGCGUGCCUAAUACAUGCAAGUCGAGCGCAGGAAACUGACGGAACUCUUCGGAGGGAAGGCAGUGGAAUGAGCGGCGGACGGGUGAGUAACACGUAAGGAACCUGCCUCAAGGAUUGGGAUAACUCCGAGAAAUCGGAGCUAAUACCGGAUAGUUCAACGGACCGCAUGGUCCGCUGAUGAAAGGCGCUCCGGCGUCACCUUGAGAUGGCCUUGCGGUGCAUUAGCUAGUUGGUGGGGUAACGGCCCACCAAGGCGACGAUGCAUAGCCGACCUGAGAGGGUGAGCGGCCACACUGGGACUGAGACACGGCCCAGACGCCUACGGGAGGCAGCAGUAGGGAAUCUUCCACAAUGGACGAAAGUCUGAUGGAGCAACGCCGCGUGAGUGAUGAAGGUUUUCGGAUCGUAAAACUCUGUUGUAAGGGAAGAACACGUACGAGAGGAAAUGCUCGUACCUUGACGGUACCUUACGAGAAAGCCACGGCUAACUACGUGCCAGCCGCCGCCGUAAGAC